AAAAGGAGAUGGAGGUGAAGCUCAAGAAAUAUGUGGAUUAUGGGGACCUUGAAGAAGCCAGAGGUUGUUGGGAGCCUUGCAGAAGGACAAUAAGACCUAGGAGGAAAAGUUGGCGAAUGCACGGGUUAAGGAUGCAGAGAUCGCCACUAAGGAGAAAUCCUUGCAGGAGCAUCUGAAGGCUGCUCACCUUUCCAAAAAGGAGUUGGAUAAUGAAGUAUUAA
rnacentral:lncRNA from 1 species